AGUUUGAUCCUGGCUCAGGAUGAACGCUAGCGGCAGGCUUAACACAUGCAAGUCGAGGGGUAGAGGAAGCUUGCUUCCUUGAGACCGGCGCACGGGUGCGUAACGCGUAUACAAUCUACCUUUUACAGAGGGAUAGCCCAAGAGUAAAUUUGGAUUAAUACCUCAUAGUAUUUCGGAUCGCAUGAUUUGAUUAUUAAAGUUCCAACGGUAAAAGAUGAGUAUGCGUCCCAUUAGCUAGAUGGUAAGGUAACGGCUUACCAUGGCAAUGAUGGGUAGGGGUCCUGAGAGGGAGAUCCCCCCACACUGGUACUGAGACACGGACCAGACUCCUACGGGAGGCAGCAGUGAGGAAUAUUGGACAAUGGGCGCAAGCCUGAUCCAGCCAUGCCGCGUGCAGGAAUAAGGUCCUAUGGAUUGUAAACUGCUUUUAUACAGGAAGAAACACACCCUCGUGAGGGUACUUGACGGUACUGUAUGAAUAAGGACCGGCUAACUCCGUG
rnacentral:rRNA from 1 species